UGAAAUGCGAAAAGUAAUGCGAUUUGCAUGAAUCUGUGAGUCAUCAAGUUUUUGAACGCACCUUGCACCGUAUGGGCAACCGUACGGUAUACCUGUUUGAGAAUCGUAAAAACCUCUUUCCACCACUUGUGGUGGGAGACUUGUCGGUUGUGCCGGAAGGCACUCUGAUCAAAUGCAGUAGGUCUGAAUCAGGCUAGUGGCCUGGGACACUGUGUGCUAGAGACGUCUCGUACUGUCUUCUCAUGGUGGGUCCUGGGCUAUUUAAGCUGGGCUGAUGAAACCUCUACAGUCUGUGCAUACUUUGGUGUGUGCUGACAACCCCACAAUUUGAUCUCAAAUCAGGUAAGGCUACCCGCUGAACUUAA
rnacentral:misc_RNA from 1 species